GUCUUUGUGGAGCACGGGCGCUCGUUCCCUCUAUGUGCACAUUAGCCAGAUAUGUGGGAAAGCUGGUGGUUCAACUCCACCCGAAGACA